rnacentral:rRNA from 1 species
ACGGAAGGCAGCAGUGGGGAAUAUUGCACAAUGGGGGAAACCCUGAUGCAGCGAUGCCGCGUGGAGGAAGAAGGUUUUCGGAUUGUAAACUCCUGUCUUAAAGGACGAUAAUGACGGUACUUUAGGAGGAAGCUCCGGCUAACUACGUGCCAGCAGCCGCGGUAGUACGUAGGGAGCGAGCGUUGUCCGGAAUUACUGGGUGUAAAGGGAGCGUAGGCGGGACGGCAAGUCAGAUGUGAAAUACAUGGGCUCAACCCAUGGGCUGCAUUUGAAACUGCUGUUCUUGAGUGAAGUAGAGGUAAGCGGAAUUCCCGGUGUAGCGGUGAUAUGCGUAGAUAUCGGGAGGAACAUCAGUGGCGAAGGCGGCUUACUGGGCUUUAACUGACGCUGAGGCUCGAAAGCGUGGGGAGCAAACAGGAUUAGAUACCCUGGUA